rnacentral:rRNA from 1 species
CCUACGGGAGGCAGCAGUGAGGAAUAUUGGUCAAUGGACGAGAGUCUGAACCAGCCAAGUAGCGUGAAGGAUGACUGCCCUAUGGGUUGUAAACUUCUUUUAUAUGGGAAUAAAACGUUCCACGUGUGGGAUUUUGUAUGUACCAUAUGAAUAAGGCUCGGCUAACUCCGUGCCAGCAGCCGCGGUAAUACGGAGGAUCCGAGCGUUAUCCGGAUUUAUUGGGUUUAAAGGGAGCGUAGGUGGUUUGUUAAGUCAGUUGUGAAAGUUUGCGGCUCAACCGUAAAAUUGCAGUUGAAACUGGCAGUCUUGAGUACAGUAGAGGUAGGCGGAAUUCGUGGUGUAGCGGUGAAAUGCUUAGAGAUCACGAAGAACACCGAUUGCGAAGGCAGUUCACUGGACUGCAACUGACACUGAGGCUCGAAAGUGUGGGUAUCAAACAGGAUUAGAUACCCUUGUAGUC